rnacentral:rRNA from 1 species
UACGUAGGGGGCAAGCGUUGUCCGGAUUUAUUGGGCGUAAAGCGCGUGUAGGCGGCCAGGUAAGUCGGCUGUGAAAACUCGAGGCUCAACCUCGAGAUGUCGGCCGAAACUAUCUGGCUAGAGUCCGGAAGAGGAGAAUGGAAUUCCCGGUGUAGCGGUGAAAUGCGCAGAUAUCGGGAAGAACACCCGUGGCGAAGGCGGUUCUCUGGGACGGUACUGACGCUGAGGCGCGAAAGCCAGGGGAGCGAACGGG